rnacentral:lncRNA from 10 species
UAGAUGUAAAUUUGGGAUUAUUCUGCAUACAUAUAUAUGUCAUUAGCUAGAACUUUGUCAUGUAGUCAGGCCAUCUACAGCUGCAAAGAAGGCAGAAAAGGAGAAUAUGUACCAUCUCCAACUUCCAUCGAGAAAGGCAGCAGACAGAAAAGGAUGGGAAGGUCUGCUGGGUCAUUCAACCAACAAUGUCUGUAUUACCUAACUUCUCAGCUCUUCCUGUACAAAAUAAGAAUAAUAAAGUCUACUUUAUAUGAUUAUGGUCAAAAUUACAUGAGAUAAGCUAUAGAAACAGGCCAGGAGCCAUGGCUCACGCCUAUAAUCCCAACACGUUGGGAGGCCGAGAUAGGCAGAUCACCUAAGGUUAAGAGUUCGAGACCAACCUGACCAACAUGGUGAAACCCUGUUGCUACUAAAAAUACAAAAUUAGCGGGGCGUGGUGGCACAUGCCUGUAAUCCCAGCUACUCUGGAGGCUGAGGCAGGAGAAUUGCUUGAACCCAGGAGGUAGAGGUUGCAGUGAAUGGAGAUCACACCAUUGCACUCCAGCCUGGGCAACAAGAGUGAAACUCCAUCUCAAAAAAAAAAAAAAAAAAAAAAAAAUAGGAAAGAAACAUAGCUCCUGUUAUAAUAGGACCUUUAAAUAUAGAAGUUCCCCUUUCUUUCCUUUCUGUGACCUGAGAUGUCAUGGAAAGUCCUUCAUUAGCUCACCCCAUAUAUUUAUUUUUGGACUUCCUCAUUGAACAAAAUGAUGACACUGCUAUUUUUAUAAUCACUACUGCCGCAAAAAACAGGAACUUUUUCUUGUCCCCCAAAACCACAGAUUUUCCAGAGCCUCACUGGUCAAGCUGGGCUCUUGCUUCUCAGUCCCACUUUCUUCUUAUCUCAGGGGUUCUGUUUUUAAUUUGACAUUUCAGUUUCUGUGCAUAACCAUGGUAGAAGGAUUUCCAGAUUCUUGGUAAUCAUUAACCAACUCAAGACAGGCAUAGCCCUGCCCUGCCUCCCCCUCAGCUGAGGCCUUGCUGGAGAAUGUCUGGGAAGGGCAUUCACAGAGCACGGAGACGUCCAAAG